UAAGACAGAGGUGGCAAGCGUUGUUCGGAUUUACUGGGCUUAAAGGGCGUGUAGGUGUCCUGAUAAGUCAGAUGUGGAAGCCUUAGGCUUAACCUAAGAAUUGCAUUUGAAACUGUCAGGAUUGAGUCGUGCAUGGGAGGGCGGAAUUCCUGGUGUAGCGGUGAAAUGCGUAGAUAUCAGGAGGAAGGCCGGUGGUGAAGAUGGCCCUCUGGGCAAUGACUGACACUGAGGCGCGAAAGCGUGGGGAGCAAACAGGAUUAGAUACCCUGGUAGUCCACGCCCUAAACGGUGGGUACUAGGUGUGGGUGGCGAUAGUCAUCCGUGCCGAAGGGAAACCAUUAAGUACCCCGCCUGGGGAGUACGGCCGCAAGGUUGAAACUUAAAGGAAUUGACGG
rnacentral:rRNA from 1 species